rnacentral:misc_RNA from 1 species
AACCUUAUGGACCUGCGGGCGUAUACCUGCGGAGGGAUCAUUACACAAUAAACAUAUGAAGGCUGCACCGCCAACAGGCGGCAAGGCUGGAGUAUUUUAUUACCCUUGUCUUUUGCGCACUUGUUGUUUCCUGGGCGGGUUCGCCCGCCUCCAGGACCACAUGAUAAACCUUUUUUAUGCAGUUGCAAUCAGCGUCAGUACAACAAAUGUAAAUCAUUUACAACUUUUAACAACGGAUCU